UACGUAGGGGGCAAGCGUUAUCCGGAUUUACUGGGUGUAAAGGGAGCGUAGACGGUUAUGCAAGUCAGAAGUGAAAGCCCAUAGCUCAACUUCGGGACUGCUUUUGAAACUGUGUAACUAGAGUGCAGGAGGGGUAAGCGGAAUUCCUAGUGUAGCGGUGAAAUGCGUAGAUAUUAGGAGGAACACCGGCGGCGAAGGCGGCUUACUGGACUGUAACUGACGUUGAGGCUCGAAAGCGUGGGGAGCAAACAGG
rnacentral:rRNA from 1 species